rnacentral:rRNA from 1 species
GUGCCUAAUACAUGCAAGUCGAGCGAACAGAUAAGGAGCUUGCUCCUUUGACGUUAGCGGCGGACGGGUGAGUAACACGUGGGUAACCUACCUAUAAGACUGGGAUAACUUCGGGAAACCGGAGCUAAUACCGGAUAACAUUUGGAACCGCAUGGUUCUAAAGUGAAAGAUGGUUUUGCUAUCACUUAUAGAUGGACCCGCGCCGUAUUAGCUAGUUGGUAAGGUAACGGCUUACCAAGGCGACGAUACGUAGCCGACCUGAGAGGGUGAUCGGCCACACUGGAACUGAGACACGGUCCAGACUCCUACGGGAGGCAGCAGUAGGGAAUCUUCCGCAAUGGGCGAAAGCCUGACGGAGCAACGCCGCGUGAGUGAUGAAGGGUUUCGGCUCGUAAAACUCUGUUAUUAGGGAAGAACAAAUGUGUAAGUAACUGUGCACAUCUUGACGGUACCUAAUCAGAAAGCCACGGCUAACUACGUGCCAGCAGCCGCGGUAAUACGUAGGUGGCAAGCGUUAUCCGGAAUUAUUGGGCGUAAAGCGCGCGUAGGCGGUUUCUUAAGUCUGAUGUGAAAGCCCACGGCUCAACCGUGGAGGGUCAUUGGAAACUGGGAAACUUGAGUGCAGAAGAGGAAAGUGGAAUUCCAUGUGUAGCGGUGAAAUGCGCAGAGAUAUGGAGGAACACCAGUGGCGAAGGCGACUUUCUGGUCUGUAACUGACGCUGAUGUGCGAAAGCGUGGGGAUCAAACAGGAUUAGAUACCCUGGUAGUCCACGCCGUAAACGAUGAGUGCUAAGUGUUAGGGGGUUUCCGCCCCUUAGUGCUGCAGCUAACGCAUUAAGCACUCCGCCUGGGGAGUACGACCGCAAGGUUGAAACUCAAAGGAAUUGACGGGGACCCGCACAAGCGGUGGAGCAUGUGGUUUAAUUCGAAGCAACGCGAAGAACCUUACCAAAUCUUGACAUCCUUUGAAAACUCUAGAGAUAGAGCCUUCCCCUUCGGGGGACAAAGUGACAGGUGGUGCAUGGUUGUCGUCAGCUCGUGUCGUGAGAUGUUGGGUUAAGUCCCGCAACGAGCGCAACCCUUAAGCUUAGUUGCCAUCAUUAAGUUGGGCACUCUAGGUUGACUGCCGGUGACAAACCGGAGGAAGGUGGGGAUGACGUCAAAUCAUCAUGCCCCUUAUGAUUUGGGCUACACACGUGCUACAAUGGACAAUACAAAGGGCAGCUAAACCGCGAGGUCAUGCAAAUCCCAUAAAGUUGUUCUCAGUUCGGAUUGUAGUCUGCAACUCGACUACAUGAAGCUGGAAUCGCUAGUAAUCGUAGAUCAGCAUGCUACGGUGAAUACGUUCCCGGGUCUUGUACACACCGCCCGUCACACCACGAGAGUUUGUAACACCCGAAGCCGGUGGAGUAACCAUUUAUGGAGCUAGCCGUCGAA